AUUGAACGCUGGCGGCAGGCCUAACACAUGCAAGUCGAGCGAGCGGCGGACGGGUGAGUAAUGUAUGGGGACUGCCCGAUAGAGGGGGAUAACUACUGGAAACGGUGGCUAAUACCGCAUACUAUCGGAUAACCCAUACGGGAUUAGCUUGUAGGUGAGGUAACGGCUCACCUAGGAGACGAUCCCUAGCUGGUCUGAGGGGAUGGUCAGCCACACUUGGACAGAGACACGGCCCAGGCUCCUGCGGAGGCAGGAGUGGGGAAUGUUGCAGAAUGGGCGCAAGCCUGAUGCAACCAUGCCACGUAUGUGAAAAAUUCCUGCGGGUUGUGAAAUUAUUUCAGUCGGGAAGCGUUACCAACAGAAGAAGCACCGGCUAACUCCGUGCCAGCAGCCGCGGUGAUUC
rnacentral:rRNA from 1 species